AUCAGCAGACCAGGGAGCUCAAACUCUAAUAAAAGUUUUGACCAGAGAGGUCAUUCCACGAUUUGGCAUACCAUCUCAAAUAGAAGCUACAAGGUGUGUGGGCAAAUUCAUGGGAAAUUGUGAGAACCAACUCUAGUCUCCCCUGUAAUAAAAAUAUAUGAGGAACAAACAGCAGCUAUAUCAGAUUACUUUUGGAUUUGCAAAGGAAGUGGGUUGAGAGCUAUAUUACCUAAAAAUUGGAAAGGAAUAUGCACUAGAGUGAGACUAGCACAAGAAGUGACUAUGUUAACAUGGAACCUGGAAGACUCUGAAAUCCUGGCUGCACCUAGAAAAACUGUGCAAAGCAAACAUAGAGUGAAAAGAGCAUAUCAGCCUGACCCUAAUAUAAUAAUAGAUGCAAUUGGUCAACCAAGAGGAAUACCGCAAGAAUUUAAGGCCAGAGAUUAAAUAAAAUCAGGCUUUGAGUCAAUAUUUGUAUGGAUAACACCCAACAAGAAUGCAGAAUGGAUCAACUACAUUUAUUAUAAUCAGCAGGGAUUUAUUAAUUACACUGAUGAAGCAUUGAAGGCCUUAGGUGACCAAUUAGCUGCAACCAGCAAAAUGACAUGGCAAAAUAGACAGGCCCUAGACUGGCUAUUAGCAGAAAAAGGUGGAGUUUGUGUAAUGUUUGGAGGUGACUGUUGUACUUAUAUCCCAAAUAAUAUAGCUCCUGAUGGAUCCUUCACCCUAGCCAUGAAAAAGCUGAAAAACCUAUGAAAGGAAGUGACUGCCAAUGCUGGGAGAGAUCAACAUGUUGGCAAAUGGUUUGACAAUCUAUUUGGAUCCUGGUAAGAAUGGCUCACUAAAGUAGGAAUAAUAAUGGCUGUAGCUAUUGCUAUUUCUGUGGUGUUGUGUUGUGUGUGCCUCUCCUCAGAUCAAUGAUGGCCAAUGUUGCAGCUAAGCAGAUGCUCAAUGUUUCAGUGAAGCCAUCUGGAGAUGAUAUAGGGCUCACCAUAGGCCCUGGACUGGAUGAGCUGGAUGAAUUCUAGUAAAACCAUAAUGUGCCUGUAUGAACUCUAAAAUCACUGAAAGUGCCACUGGAAGUCCAGAGACUUAAACAUCACAAAGACAGGAUCGACGAGCACCUCACUGCUUAGCAGCAAGAGCAAGACUCUACUGGUGGUUUAAAAACCCGUUGUCCGCUCCAACACCACCAGAUAGCGCUCCAGGCUACCGAAAAUGUCUGUGAGUUGCACUGGCACCGUGGGACGUAUCAGAUGCUGAUCUACUACUAUUGUCUAAUCACUGUAAUAUGUUAACCUACUGAAAAAAGUUGAAUCACUGAUGUAUUCUACAUAACGCAAGGCUACCUUGGCAUGCACAUGCUUUGUACAAGAAUUUGAUUAUUGUUACCCUCCAGAAAAGAACUUAGCUAGGGAGCGAUGAGAUCUUUUACUUCCUUCUAGUCAAAUGUGGAGGGAGAUGUUUGGUCUCGUUGUUUCUCCGGAGUGCAGUUCCAUAAGUAUAGGCAAUAUUAGAGGAAUGUGUGUCUUAUAUUGGUCACUUGAAAGAAAUGAUGGAGCUUGUUUUGUGAGGUUGCACUCUGGGAAAAGGGCGAUAGAAGGUGAGACUUUUUAUAAGUCUCAAAGGAGGGAAUAUAUAGUAGAUUUGUAUAUAUCAAAUGUAGAAAAAUACUAAUAUAGAAUAGCUUUGUGUGACCCAGGAGAGGGCAUAUGAGGUUACAAGAAGUGUGGACUUUGUGUGACCAAGGAGAGGGCAUAUGAGGACUAAAAGUGCUGAUGUUACAAGAAACGUUCAGUGCACUAAGCUGUAGCAGAAAUGUUGCAAGAAAUACUCUUGUGUCCUCAGCUGUAAGCACAGAACAAUGGUACUGAGUCAUGAGAAAGCUCUGGGAAAGUACAGCAAAUUAAAAGAUUGAUGCAACCAAUAAUCAAAAUAACUAUAUGUGCUCAGAUUGUGAUGUAUUAUUCAUUAAAUACUUUCAUGAUAAAUGCAUUUAAAAUGUUAUUUUUUAAAAUGGACUAAAAGCCAGGUUCCCACCAUUGAAAAGAGGUCAAUGGUGGAAAACAGAAUCCAUUGGAUACAAAAUAUAUUAAGAUGGCAUAGGCAUGAGGUAAUACUAGAUUACAAACUGUACAAGAACUAAGGGUUUUGACAGAGAGAGUCAGAUCUCAGCUGACAUCUCGGGUUUGUUGGUAUGUUCAAUAAACUCUAACAUUUGACACCUGGAA